GUCUACGGCCAUGCUACCCUGAAUGUUCCCAAUCCCGUCUGAUCUUGGAAGUUAAGAAGGGUUGGACCUGGUUGGUACUUGGAGGGGAGACCGUCUAAGAAGACUAGGUAAUAUAAGCA
rnacentral:rRNA from 1 species